rnacentral:rRNA from 1 species
GACGAACGCUGGCGGCGUGCUUAACACAUGCAAGUCGAACGGAAAGGCCCUGCUUUUGUGGGGUGCUCGAGUGGCGAGCGGGUGAGUAACACGUGAGUAACCUGCCCUUGACUUUGGGAUAACUCUAGGAAACUGGGGCUAAUACCGGAUAGGAGCUCCUGCUGCAUGGUGGGGGUUGGAAAGUUUCGGCGGUUGGGGAUGGACUCGCGGCUUAUCAGCUUGUUGGUGGGGUAGUGGCUUACCAAGGGUUUGACGGGUAGCCGGCCUGAGAGGGUGACCGGCCACAUUGGGACUGAGGUACGGCCCAGACUCGUACGGGAGGCAGCAGUGGGGAAUAUUGCACAGUGGGCGGAAGCCUGAUGCAGCAACGCCGCGUGCGGGAUGACGGCCUUCGGGUUGUAAACCGCUUUCGCCUGUGACGAAGCGUGAGUGACGGUAAUGGGUAAAGAAGCACCGGCUAACUACGUG